AUUUAUAAUAAUAAAACAACGUGGGCUUAAAAAAAAAAAAACAAAAAACUCACGUUUUAGUGAAAAACAGAGCAGGGUAAAAAGAAAAUGUGGACAAAAUAAAUGUAACUACAUGCACUUGAACCCUUGACCAUGAGAAAGUAAUCUUAGACACUUAGCACUACACCACCUAGGAUUUUAAAUGUGGCCUCAACUUUUUAGUAUUUAUUUAUGGCCUAAAGCA
rnacentral:lncRNA from 1 species